AGCGAACGCUGGCGGCGUACUUAACACUUGCAAGUCGAACGAGAAUCGCUCGUGUAGCAAUACAUAAGCGGUUCUAGUGGCGCACGGGUGAGUAACACGUGGGCAACCUGCCCUUGAGUCCGGGAUACCCUCUCGAAAGGGAGGCUAAUACUGGAUACGUUCCUCGGGUCGCAAGCUCUGGGGAGGAAAGGUGGCGAAAGCUACCGCUCAUGGAGGGGCUCGCGGCCUAUCAGCUAGUUGGUGAGGUAACGGCUCACCAAGGCUAUGACGGGUAGCUGGUCUGAGAGGACGACCAGCCACACGGGAACUGAGACACGGUCCCGACUCCUACGGGAGGCAGCAGUGGGGAAUUUUCCGCAAUGGGCGAAAGCCUGACGGAGUGACGCCGCGUGGGGGACGAAGGCCUUCGGGUCGUAAACCCCUGUCAGAGGGAAAGAAGGGUUGCCGACCUAACACGUCGGUGAUCUGACGGUACCUUCAGAGGAAGCCCCGGCCAACUC
rnacentral:rRNA from 1 species